AGUGAACGCUGGCGGUAGGCCUAACACAUGCAAGUCGAACGGCAGCACAGUAAGAGCUUGCUCUUACGGGUGGCGAGUGGCGGACGGGUGAGGAAUACAUCGGAAUCUACUUUUUCGUGGGGGAUAACGUAGGGAAACUUACGCUAAUACCGCAUACGACCUACGGGUGAAAGCAGGGGAUCUUCGGACCUUGCGCGAUUGAAUGAGCCGAUGUCGGAUUCGCUAGUUGGCGGGGUAAAGGCCCACCAAGGCGACGAUCCGUAGCUGGUCUGAGAGGAUGAUCAGCCAAACUUGAACUGAGACACGGACCAGACUCCUACGGGAAGCGGCAGUGGGGAAUAUUGGAGAAUGGGCGCAAGCCUGAUCCAACCAUACCGCGUGGGUGAAGAAGGCCUUCGGGUUGUAAAGCCCUUUUGUUGGGAAAGAAAAGCAGCAGGUUAAUACCCCGCUGUUCUGACGGUACCCAAAGAAUAAGCACCGGCUAACUUCGUG
rnacentral:rRNA from 1 species